GAUGAACGCUAGCUACAGGCUUAACACAUGCAAGUCGAGGGACCGGCGCACGGGUGAGUAACACGUAUCCCACCUGCCCUUUACUCGGGGAUAGCCUUUCGAAAGAAAGAUUAAUACCCGAUGUAAAGGAUGGGGAUGCGUUCCAUUAGGUUGUUGGUGAGGUAACGGCUCACCAAGCCAUCGAUGGAUGGUGGUGCGGAGAGAAAGGUCCACCACAUUGGAGCUGAGACACGGUCCAAAAUCCUACGGGGUGCAGCAGUGAGGAAUAUUGGUCAAUGGACGGUGGCCUGAACCAGCCAAGUAGCGGAAAGGAUGAAGGCGUAUGGAACGUGAUCUUCUUUUGUAUAAGAAUAGGUAGUCGAUGAAUAAGGAGCGGCUAACUCCGUGCCAGCAGCCGCGGUAAUUC
rnacentral:rRNA from 1 species